rnacentral:rRNA from 1 species
AUUGAACGCUGGCGGCAGGCUUAACACAUGCAAGUCGAGCGAGCGGCGGACGGGUGAGUAAUGUCUGGGAAACUGCCUGAUGGAGGGGGAUAACUACUGGAAACGGUAGCUAAUACCGCAUACCAUCAGAUGUGCCCAGAUGGGAUUAGCUAGUAGGUGGGGUAAUGGCUAACCUAGGCGACGAUCCCUAGCUGGUCGGAGAGGAUGACCGGCCACCCUGUACCGGAGCAACGGUCCAGACUCCUACGGGAGGAAGCAGUGGGGAUUGUUGCACAAGGGGCGCAAGCCUGAUGCAGCCAUGCCGCGUGUGUGAAGAAGGCCUUCGAGUUGUAAAGCACUUUCAGCGAGGAGGCGUUACUCGCAGAAGAAGCACCGGCUAACUCCGUGCCAGCCGCCGCGGUAAUUC